GUGGGGAAUAUUGGGCAAUGGGCGCAAGCCUGACCCAGCAACGCCGCGUGAGGGAAGAAGGCUUUCGGGUUGUAAACCUCUGUCCUUGGUGACGAAACAAAUGACGGUAGCCAAGGAGGAAGCCCCGGCUAACUACGUGCCAGCAGCCGCGGUAAUACGUAGGGGGCGAGCGUUGUCCGGAAUUACUGGGCGUAAAGGGUGCGUAGGUGGCCUUUUAAGUUGGAUGUGAAAUACCCGGGCUUAACUUGGGGGGUGCAUCUAAUACUGGAGGGCUAGAGUGCAGGAGAGGAAAGCGGAAUUCCUAGUGUAGCGGUGAAAUGCGUAGAUAUUAGGAGGAACACCAGUGGCGAAGGCGGCUUUCUGGACUGUAACUGACACUGAGGCACGAAAGCGUGGGGAGCAAACAGGAUUAGAAACCCUGGUAGUCC
rnacentral:rRNA from 1 species